rnacentral:rRNA from 1 species
AUACGGAGGAUCCGAGCGUUAUCCGGAUUUAUUGGGUUUAAAGGGUGCGCAGGCGGCCAUUUAAGUCAGCGGUUAAAUCGUGGGGCUCAACCCCAUUCUGCCGUUGGUACUGGGUGGCUUGAUUGCGGUCGAGGUUGGCGGAAUUCGUUGUGUAGCGGUGAAAUGCAUAGAUAUGACGAAGAACGCCGAUUGCGUAGGCAGCUGACCAGACCGCAAAUGACGCUCAUGCACGAAAGUGCGGGGAUCGAACAGGAUUAGAUACCCUGGUAGUCCGCACAGUAAACGAUGAAUACUUGUUUUCGGCGAUAUAAUGUCGGAGGCAAAGCGAAAGCGAUAAGUAUUCCACCUGGGGAGUACGCCGGCAACGGUGAAACUUAAAGGAAUUGACGGGG